rnacentral:rRNA from 1 species
UGGGGAAUAUUGGACAAUGGGCGAAAGCCUGAUCCAGCCAUGCCGCGUGUGUGAAGAAGGUCUUCGGAUUGUAAAGCACUUUAAGUUGGGAGGAAGGGCAUUAACCUAAUACGUUGGUGUCUUGACGUUACCGACAGAAUAAGCACCGGCUAACUCUGUGCCAGCAGCCGCGGUAAUACAGAGGGUGCAAGCGUUAAUCGGAAUUACUGGUCGUAAAGCGCGCGUAGGUGGUUCGUUAAGUUGGAUGUGAAAUCCCCGGGCUCAACCUGGGAACUGCAUUCAGAACUGACGGGCUAGAGUAUGGUAGAGGGUGGUGGAAUUUCCUGUGUAGCGGUGAAAGGCGUAGGUAUAGGAAGGAAGUCCAGUGGCGAAGGCGACCACCUGGACUGAUACUGACACUGAGGUGCGAAAGCGUGGGGAGCAAACA